AAGGAUCAUUAGCAGUUCCAAACCUUUAUACUCUGUGCACCGUAAACGUCUUUGUUUGGUGGGGGUUUCCAGUGGAUAAUGCCAUUGAUUUGCUCUGAUGCAUUUUUUUAUAUUUAUUUAUUUAAAAAGUGUGUGUUGGUGACUCGCCAAACAUUUUAUUUUCGUAACCCUUUUUAAAACUUUGCACUUACUUAUUCCGCGAGGAAUUAUUGGAUUGAAUCAAAUACAACUUUUAGCAGCGGAUCUCUUGGCUCUC
rnacentral:misc_RNA from 1 species